GACGAACGCUGGCGGCGUGCUUAGCACAUGCAAGUCGAACGGAAAGGCCCUGCUUUUGUGGGGUGCUCGAGUGGCGAACGGGUGAGUAACACGUGAGUAACCUGCCCUUGACUUUGGGAUAACUUCAGGAAACUGGGGCUAAUACCGGAUAGGAGCUCCUGCUGCAUGGUGGGGGUUGGAAAGUUUCGGCGGUUGGGGAUGGACUCGCGGCUUAUCAGCUUGUUGGUGGGGUAGUGGCUUACCAAGGCUUUGACGGGUAGCCAGCCUGAGAGGGUGACCGGCCACAUGGGGACUGGGAAAGGGCCCAGACGCCUCCGGGGGGAAGGAGGGGGGAAUUUGGCAAAAGGGGCGGAAGCCUGAGGCAGCAACGCCGGGUGCGGGAGGACGGCCUUGGGGUGGUAAACCGUUUUCGCCUGUGACGAAGCGUGAGGGAGGGUAAUGGGAAAAGAAGCCCCGGUAAACUACGG
rnacentral:rRNA from 1 species